GAUGAACGCUGGCGGCGUGCCUAAUACAUGCAAGUCGAGCGAAGCGGGGACGGGUGAGUAACACGUGGAUAACCUCCUAUAAGACUGGGAUAACCUCGGGAAACCGGAGCCAAACCGGAUACUUAGAGAUGGAUCCGCGCUGCAUUAGCUAGUUGGUAAGCUAACGGCUUACCAAGGCAACGAUGCAUAGCCGACCUGAGAGGGUGAUCGGCCACACUGGAACUGAGACACGGUCCAGACUCCUACGGGAGGCAGCAGUGGGGAAUAUUCCGCAAUGGGCGAAAGCCUGACGGAGCAACGCCGCGUGAGUGAUGAAGGUCUUCGGAUCGUAAAGCUCUGUUAUUAGGGAGGCGUUACCUAAUCAGAAAGCCACGGCUAACUACGUGCCAGCCGCCGCGGUAAUAC
rnacentral:rRNA from 1 species